rnacentral:tRNA from 1 species
GCCCGAUUAGCUCAGUUGGCUAGAGCAACUGACUCUUAAUCAGUGGGUCGAAGGUUCGAAUCCUUCAUCGGGCA